rnacentral:lncRNA from 1 species
GAUGUGUAUGAAAAAAUCCUUCGCUUUCAUGAUAAUAUUCAUCCCUAGAUCAAUGGAGGUAGGGAAUGACAUUGAUGUCUAUUUGCAGCCUCUUAUUAUCGAGCUGAAAUAAUUGUGAAGCGUUCAAGGUAUUCCAACUUUUGAUGCUUUAAUGAAUGAGUCAUUCCCCCAUACACGUGGUGCUUAUAUGGAUAAUAAAUGACUUUCCAGCUUAUGCCCUAA